rnacentral:sRNA from 1 species
CCGCACUGGCGCUUGCCUCCUCCGCCUCAGACUCUUGCUCUUGCUGGACCUUCCUCAGCCUCGCCGGCGCCCGGCCCCUGGGCUCUCCAGACAAAGCUGACCCCGUGGCCCAGAUAAGGACGUCCGGCAGAGGAUCCAGUUUGUGUGUUCUCUAUGCAAAUACCGGACCUUCUAUGAGGACGAGAUGGCCAGCCAUCUUGACAGCAAGUUCCACAAGGAACACUUUAAGUACGUAGGCACCAAGCUCCCUAAGCAGACGGCUGACUUUCUGCAGGAGUACGUCACCAACAAGACCAAGAAGACAGAGGAGCUCCGAAAAACUGUAGAGGACCUUGAUGGCCUCAUCCAGCAAAUCUACAGAGACCAGGAUCUGACCCAGGAAAUUGCCAUGGAGCAUUUUGUGAAGAAGGUGGAGGCAGCCCAUUGUGCAGCCUGCGACCUCUUCAUUCCCAUGCAGUUUGGGAUCAUCCAGAAGCACCUGAAGACCAUGGAUCACAACCGGAACCGCAGGCAAAAAUACCCAACAGUGACAACAUCCAGUGCUGAUGGGCAGGCAGGAGGACCAGGUCAUUGUUUUAACACAGGUGGAAGAAGCAUGACUUGCAAAUGUUCUGCAGUUAAUUGGGCACUAUCACUUUAAAACCAAACCUGGUUAGAAUGAAAAGCACCAGCAUGGAAG